GUCAAUUGCUUUAUUAACCAGUUAAAACAUUCUGGGUGAAUUAGCAAGAAUUUUCUCUGCACGCAGAGCUUCCUAGCCUUACUUUCUGAGUUCAGGUAGUUGUUUCUGACACCAGCUUUCCUGGUAUUUCUUGGCAGACGACAGGCCAGAAGGCACCGUUCUUGUGCGGUCUGUUGCUCGGUUCUCAGCCGAGAUAGAAUUUCAUGCUCCCGGCAUCGGGGCAGCUGCGAAACCACAAACCUCAGUUCAGUCCUGAGCAUGCGAAGGUCCGCAGCUGAUUGCAGGGAGGCGUUCGGCCAAGCGAGGACGGAAAUUUGUAUUCUCCCUUUAAAAUUGUGCUUCUGAAAGUAUUUACUAUGACUUAUCAAAAGCGGCUGGCAGUGUCAAGUGAAACCUUUUUCUUGCUUCCCCCUGCCCCCUAGAACUCCUAAGUGACCAGGAACAGACGAUUUUUAACCGAGUUCUGCUGCGUGGAGCCCAGGUUGGCGCUAGUGAGUGCAGUGUGCUGACCCAAGUGGUGGUGGCCCAAGGACGCGCUGACCCGUACAUUUGGCAAAGCUUUCAUUAAAUGUAUCAGAUUCUCGCGGAAGUGGUUGCAGUCCGGAGAGUGAAACAGCUAUCUCUCAAGUCCUGACCGGUUCAGCUGAAAUCUACAUUUGCACUGAAUCUAGCAAAACACGGACGGGUCCGCCCGAGAUCUCAGGAAACCCAGAGCAAGUUACCUCCAUGUAGUUGAUCAUUCUUUCUGAAAGGACGGACACCAUUUACCCCACUGCAAUCCUGUCCAACGGGCAGCUCUGAGUUUAGCUUUAGCGCCAAAGGAUUGAUUUCCCCCACCCGCUGGAGAUUUACUGGGGACGAGCGGGGGAGGGGAGGCGAAGGUACCUCGGAGGAGGUCAAGUGGGGGAGGAGGAGGAGCAGCAGAAAAUUACCAGCCAAGCAGGGGAGGGAGUUGGAAGCCCGGAAAUAUACCAGGAUGCCUCAAGUAACCUUCCUUUAAGUCUCAGAAUUCAGCCCUCGGAAAACAGCCUCAUAAGGUGUCCUGGGAAGGAGUCCUCGGGUGGGCUGCGGAGGUGAUGUCAAGAGUUACAGCUACUUUAUGAAUUAAACUGACGGCUAAGGCAUGUCGGGACAGUUUAGUGUAAGCUGAAUGGUGCGUGGACGGGGCAACUUUUAAAGAGAGGUGGGCAAUCAUUGGUGGCAUCUACCAGUAUAUUCUGCAUGUAACAGUAGUUUGGAAGCUGAAGAAAAACCCCUCAAAUCCCAGUAAAUGCCCAGUCAGUUCGAGAGAGAUUUUAGGGACAAUUUUGAAGGUCGCUGUCUGCUCCAACUCCGCAGAGAUGAACAAGAGUGUGAACUCUGGCGCGGGUGUGUUUAGAAUUAUCUACGACUUCAGAUCCAUGCUGUUGAAACUCAUCAAUUCUUUGUGACUUCACGUGGAGAGAAGAAUUUGCCCUGCCUCCCUACCUGCUAAAUGCCGACUGAGAAAAGGGGCCCAGGAGACGACCCCUUUCAGAAAGAACGUCACUUCAUCAACUCGACUGAGUUAUUAACUUGCUCCCCGAAAGGUCAACAACGCCUUCUCUUCUCAGCCGCACCGCGCGGAGAUCAAUCGCUUUACCCUAGGUAGCCUCUUGUUCAGGGCUCAGGAACUCCUGUCUUAAGGUCCUUCUGGGGCUCAGAAGCUGUGUUGUAUAUGUUCUUUCCAAGAAUCCCACCUGUCUGCUUUCAAGCACACACGGCGCUAGAAAUUUAGCCUAGCCUGAGUCCUGGGAUGAGAGAAGAGCUAAACAAAGAGACCCCAACCGUCCCCUUGGCCCCCUGCCCCGCCGUUUUGCAGUUUGCCAACCUUCUAGCUAGACAGCCCCCUAAGUCUCCGUGUUGCGAGUGAAAGAGAAUUUUUCUAUUUCAUCUUCCCAUUGACCGAAGCAGAAAAAUUGAACCGAAUCUACGCCCCUUGUUCUGAUUCCUGCUAGAGGAAAACAGAAAAUCAUCCCGCAGGUCUCUUUCAGUCCCUGGAUGGCGAGCGCAGCCCCUGGGAGUCCACACUUAGUUCUUUAUUGUGAAUCUCUCGCUACUCAAGUUAGUUCGGGACCAGGGCCUCGGAUGGCCUCGGUUGCCCGUAAGUACGCGAAAGAAGAGGUGAAUCCAAUCGCCGGCCUAGAGGAUAGUGAUCAGACAACCCGAGGAUUACUAAACAAGGGGCGGCGGUGUCCCUGUCUCAUGGGGUUGGCGUGGGGCGGGGGGUAGGCAGCAAGACCCUCCAGGCUCCUGGAUGCAAAGAGUGAGAAAGAAAGCGCAGCCUCUGGCAGCCUGCUUAUAAAUGCAGCCUUUCGGAAGAUGAAACUUGCAGUCUUAGGUUGUCCUCCUUUAUGUCCAUGUUCCAAUCCUCUGGGCUUUCCUCGAAAUGAAUAAAAUUGUGGAAAUGAAUGAAUGAGAAUAUCACUUUAAUUGUUUCAAACUCAUUGUCAAGUCACCUUUUCUGCCAUCUGCCAGAGGUUCAAUUUGCGCUUCGUGUCUACAUUCCAGAAAAUUGUAAGGACGUUUCCUCUGCAUCUGUCUGCCUUGUUGGCAGCGUGCGGAAACGAUAACUGCACAGUUAUUGGUACAGAAUAUUUUCAUGACUAGCUUAAUUCUAAAUAUCACCCCAAAAUACAGAUACCUUACUUCUUAGUUGGCAUUAUUCAAGUUUAUUCACUUUGUGCUGCAAAUGUUUGAAUUAGAAAACAGGAGAGAACUCCCGCAGCAGAGAUGCACUUCUGUGCUCUCCUGUCAGUCACAGAACCCACACUGGGUGAUUAGCCAGAGGGGCGGGCUCCUUUGUUGACUUAAGAGUUCACCAGGCAAGAUGGAACAAUUAUCUUGUUGCCUCUUCUUAACUGUCUAUUGUUGACUUACUUCUGGUAUGCUUCCAUUGUACAAAAUUCUAUCCAAAAUUGAAGUAAUAAUAGGUCUACUUUAAUUUUACCUGGCUUUGUUAAUAGAUAGUCUAUACCUGACACUCAUAUACUUAAGAGAUGUCGAAAGUAUAUAGCAUAUCAUUUUUGUAUAAUUAUAUAUGUUAUAAUUAUAUGCUAAUGAUACCAUCAUUUAACGUUACAAGGUAAUUCUAUAGAAAACUUGAAGUUCUAUUUUUGAUAUAUAUAACACCCUCUUUACAAGAAAAUAAUUGUCAGGUUUAAAAAUGAUAUUCAAGGGUGCUUUUAUCAAGAGAACAAAAUCUGAAGCUUCAUGAACUAAAAUCCUAUCAAGCAAGGUGGUCCAUAACUAGGUUGCUUUGGGUUAAUGAUAACUUAAAAUACUCUUGUUUUUGUAACUUUUUGUGCACAAAAUGCACAUUUUACAGUUGUGCAUUUCAAUGUGUGUUUUACCACUUAUUAUUCUGAAACCUUCAGUCACAUCAUUUCAGCAGGAAAUAAAACCUGAAUAAGUCCUAGGCAAUGUGUAAGGAAUAAGUAUGAUUUAACUUUUGUAGCUUAACAAUAUUGUGCUGAUCUUUAAAUGCAAAUAUUAAUAUAUUGAAAUUAAUAUAAGUAGAUAAUUUCAUCACCUCCUAAUUUAUAAAAAAUGGAAAAGCAAGUAUAACAAGCUGCUUUACUUUCUAUAAUGUCUAUUUAAGGACCUAUUACCAAAAUAUAGUAAUAAUGGGAUUCAUGUAUGUGUAACACAUAUGUAGCUAUCACUGUAUUAUUGGAGAGUUCAGUCUAGUUAUAAACACAUUGAACUAUCAUAUGAUGUGUGCCAUUACUUGAAUGUUGCUAAAUUGAUGCUAUGCUAUAUUUUAAGAAUCUCCCUCCUCUUUCCAGAUACAUGUACUAGCCCAGGAAGAUCCCUGCAUCUUGAACAGUAAUGCUGAAUCGGAAACUAUGUCGUUACCCAUAAGUAGAAUCCUCCUGACUUUCACUUAAAUGUCAGGACCCAAAUUAUUUUAUGUCUCACUUCAGAACAUAGCACAAUGUGCUAUUUUAUCUUCUUGGCCCAGUCUUUAGAUUUAUUCUAUACUCUCCGUGUUACAAGCUGCACAAACCAUUGGUGACAAUGAGAACCACUCUAUAUAGUUUCACUGACUUUGGAUUCUCAUAUAAUGUAUGAACAAAUAUAAGUCAUAUCUUUUAGGUCUUGACGAUGUGUUUCUUCCAAUUCUGAAGUGUUUGUAUAGUUGUCCCUAAUGUCACGUGAUACGUCUCUUCGUUGUCCUAUACCCCAGCCAUAGCAGAUCUGAUGUGACUUUGGAUAUACCAUGUGAAGGCAAGCAUUUUCUUUUAGGCUAGGCCAUCAAUGAGGAAGAAACGUGAGUAGAGCUCUUAAAGCAGAGGAAAAUGUAAGUGGAUGGAAAAAAAUCACACUUUUGAAUAUAGUAUUGGAGAAAGAAUUGAGUGUGGGUGACUUUAUUAGCUAGCAGAAGAAAGAGUGAAAAUAGGUGCUUGGCUAAGAUGAGAAAAGUAUUCAAUUUUGAAAACAGAAAGAGAAAGCUUAUUUAGAAAAAGAAAACAUGAAGUAAAUGUCAAGAGGAACAUAAAGAAAUAGGGCGUGGUGACCCAGUUCAUUCUGAUAGAAUAGGCGUUUAAGGGCAAAACCCAGAUCCGAAAUAGGUAGUGGAUGGAGCUAGGGAACAGUAGAUUCAUAAUUAUUUUAACUUGGCAUUUAAAACUUUAAAAUCUGAGUUGAGGGGUUUUCUUUUUUAAUGGUAGAAAAGCAGCUUAUUUGGCAAUAAUUUUAAAAACUUCUGUCGCAUCUUUAGUCAUACUAGACUGUUCACCUUUGUAAACUACUCACUAUUAGUAAACUGUCAGUACAGAAAAUACAAACUAAAAGUACUAGAAAUAUCACAAUACGGAUUUCUCUUUUUAAUGUAACUAGGUUUAUCUAACAAUAAGAUUCAGGAUUCAGAAAAGAAAAAAGACCAGAUCUGAGAAGGAAUUUUAAAAAAUGGUUUCAAAGUUUUCAAGAGUUUUGUUAGCCAUUGCCCUUUCUGCAGACGUGGUUAUAUCAGAAAGUGUAAUUCAAAUAUUUGCACUGCUUACUUAAACCACAAUAAAAAGGGAAAGAUGUUGUGAAAACACUGCCUCAUGCUCAAAUUUAUGCAAAACAACUUGAAAGGCUGCCAGCAACACUGUUGUUAUGUUAGCAGUUCUGAUCUGGCUUCACAUUCUCCUAGAGGAGUUCUUCUGAUGUGAGAAGAAUGUAAACCCAAACCACAAGGGAGUAUUCAUUGUACCUAUGCACUUGGGAAGAGUUUGGGUGCCCAAAAUGCCAGAAAAAUCAGAUACAGUUGUUCUCUUAGAAUCUAUUCUGGAGGUCACAAGGUCAGAAUGCCUGCACAUGUGCAUAAACCAACAUGCCCAUAAAAGCCUGAUAGGAGGCAGCAGUGCCCCAUAAAAGGUCACACCCAGCCAGAAUCCAGCAACGUUGGAACAGCGUCUGUUAUGGAGAAGAAAUAUGUGUCUGACAGCAGCAACAGCAGCAGCAGAGAAAGAUGGAUUGGGGAUUAAUCAUGGUAAGAUACUGAGCAAAAGAGACAACAAAUUCUGCCAAGCAUGAAUCCUUCUCUACUCACAGGUUUCACAAAAUACACUCUUCAAAGUACAAGCUGGUUGGCCAAGGUCAGGUUGAUCUUUGCUAGUCUAAAGAAGCAGCUGCGGAGUGUUUCCCACGGCAGACGGAGAACACCUAAGGAUUUUUUACUGUUAAAAAAAUAGUAAUUUGUGUUUCAACAGUAGAAAUACUCCUGAUAACACACGUGAUCAAAAUUGCAUUCCCCCUCAGUUCUCAUGACAUUCACUUUGGGGUAAUACCAUUUAAAAAAUAUUAUUGGUAGCUGUUAGCCUGUGGCUUUCCAGGACCUUACUUUUAAUGUAUUUCCCUUGUCUUUCUAGAUUUAACAUAUUGCCUCAUUUCAUAAUCUCCCUUCAUUGAGAUCAUUUGUAUAAGCAAAACAUGUUACAUGACAGUCUUUGGAAGACUGAAUAGGCGCCACUAAAUUGUGCAGUUUAGAGGGCUCUAGGCAAGGCCACCCAGACUGAAAUGGUAGCCCCUCUAUUAUCUGUCAAAGCAUCUCAAAUAACUCUAAGAAAGGUUUACUACUUUGACAAUCAUAAAGACUCUUUAGUUUUCAGGAGGUUUUGUUUAGUUUUGUUGGUUGGUUAUUUAAUGCCAAAGCUUUCUGUAAUUGAUUUUUCCUGCUUCUUUACCCAUUUGUACCAUUAUGAAGAUUUCUAUGAUAAGCAUGCCAAUAAUAAGAAAAAAGAAGGAAAGAAGGAGUUGAAAAGGAAAUAAAGAUGAUAAACCUAAAAAUAAAUGAUACACAAUGGAAUACUAUUCAGCAAUUGAAAGAACAACUGAUGCAUACUUUAACAUGGGUGAGUCUCAAUAUGCUGAGUAAAAGAAGCCAGAACAAAAAUGGACACUCUAUAAUUCUACUUAUGUAAAACUCUAGGAUAUACAAACUAGUGUUUGACAAACUGAUAGUGAAAGAAAUCAGAUGAGUGGUGACUGUGGGAUGGAGUAGGUGAAGGGUAGAUGGGAAAGGCAGAGAUUAAAAAGGGACUAGAGGAAAUUUUUGGAAGUGAUAGACAUAUUCCUUAAUUUAUAUUCCUUAUUUUUAUUGUGGUAGUUUAAUGGGGGUAUGCUGUGGCAAAGCUUACCAAAUUAUAUAUUUUAAAUAUGGGCAGUUCAUUGUGUAUCAUUUAUACCUCAAUAAAGCUAUUAAAAAUAGAAAAGAAA
rnacentral:antisense_RNA from 1 species